UACGUAGGUGGCAAGCGUUUGUCCGGAAUUAUUGGGCGUAAAGCGCGCGCAGGUGGUUUCUUAAGUCUGAUGUGAAAGCCCACGGCUCAACCGUGGAGGGUCAUUGGAAACUGGGGAACUUGAGUGCAGAAGAGGAAAGUGGAAUUCCAAGUGUAGCGGUGAAAUGCGUAGAGAUUUGGAGGAACACCAGUGGCGAAGGCGACUUUCUGGUCUGUAACUGACACUGAGGCGCGGAAAAGCGUGGGGAGCGAACAGG
rnacentral:rRNA from 1 species